rnacentral:misc_RNA from 1 species
AACAAGGCGUACCUGCGGACCUGCGGAGGGAUCAUUACCGAGUUUACAACUCCCAAACCCCUGUGAACAUACCUAUACGUUGCCUCGGCGGAUCAGCCCGCGCCCCGUAAAACGGGACGGCCCGCCCGAGGACCCUAAACUCUGUUUUUAGUGGAACUUCUGAGUAAAACAAACAAAUAAAUCAAAACUUUCAGCAACGGAUCU